rnacentral:rRNA from 1 species
ACGAACGCUGGCGGCGUGUCUAAUACAUGCAAGUCGAACGAGCUCUCCCAAAUUGAUUUUAUGCUUGCAUAAAUGAUUUUUGGAUUCGGAGCGAGUGGCGAACUGGUGAGUAACACGUGGGUAACCUGCCCCGAAGCGGGGGAUAACAUUUGGAAACAAGUGCUAAUACCGCAUAAUUAGUUGGAACCGCAUGGUUCCAACUUGAAAGAUGGCUCUGCUAUCACUUUGGGAUGGACCCGCGCCGUAUUAGUUAGUUGGUGAGAUAAAAGCCCACCAAGACGAUGAUACGUAGCCGACCUGAGAGGGUAAUCGGCCACAUUGGGACUGAGACACGGCCCAGACUCCUACGGGAGGCAGCAGUAGGGAAUCUUCCACAAUGGACGAAAGUCUGAUGGAGCAACGCCGCGUGAGUGAUGAAGGUUUUCGGAUCGUAAAACUCUGUUGUUAAAGAAGAACAAGUGUUAGAGUAACUGUUAACACUUUGACGGUAUUUAACCAGAAAGCCACGGCUAACUACGUGCCAGCAGCCGCGGUAAUACGUAGGUGGCAAGCGUUGUCCGGAUUUAUUGGGCGUAAAGCGAGCGCAGGCGGUUUUGUAAGUCUGCUGUGAAAGCCCUCAGCUCAACUGAGGAAAGUGCAGUGGAAACUACAAAACUUGAGUACAGAAGAGGAAAGUGGAACUCCAUGUGUAGCGGUGAAAUGCGUAGAUAUAUGGAAGAACACCAGUGGCGAAGGCGGCUUUCUGGUCUGUUACUGACGCUGAGGCUCGAAAGCAUGGGUAGCGAACAGGAUUAGAUACCCUGGUAGUCCAUGCCGUAAACGAUGAAUACUAGGUGUUGGAGGGUUUCCGCCCUUCAGUGCCGCAGCUAACGCAUUAAGUAUUCCGCCUGGGGAGUACGACCGCAAGGUUGAAACUCAAAGGAAUUGACGGGGGCCCGCACAAGUGGUGGAGCAUGUGGUUUAAUUCGAUGCUACGCGAAGAACCUUACCAGCUCUUGACAUCUUCUGCCAACCCAAGAGAUUGGGCGUUCCCUUCGGGGACAGAAUGACAGGUGGUGCAUGGUUGUCGUCAGCUCGUGUCGUGAGAUGUUGGGUUAAGUCCCGCAACGAGCGCAACCCUUAUUAUUAGUUGCCAGCAUUUAGUUGGGCACUCUAGUGAGACUGCCGGUGAUAAACCGGAGGAAGGUGGGGACGACGUCAAAUCAUCAUGCCCCUUAUGAGCUGGGCUACACACGUGCUACAAUGGAUGGUACAACGAGUCGCGAAACCGCGAGGUCAAGCUAAUCUCUUAAAGCCAUUCUCAGUUCGGAUUGCAGGCUGCAACUCGCCUGCAUGAAGUUGGAAUCACUAGUAAUCGUGGAUCAGCAUGCCACGGUGAAUACGUUCCCGGGCCUUGUACACACCGCCCGUCAAG